rnacentral:miRNA from 1 species
GUGUGUGUGUGUGUGUGUAUAUAUAUACAUAUAUAUAUAUAUAUGUAUAUAUAUAUAUACACACACACACACACAU